UACAGAGGUCUCAAGCGUUGUUCGGAUUCAUUGGGCGUAAAGGGUGCGUAGGUGGCGUGGUAAGUCGGGUGUGAAAUUUCGGAGCUUAACUCCGAAACUGCAUUCGAUACUGCUGUGCUUGAGGACUGGAGAGGAGACUGGAAUUUACGGUGUAGCAGUGAAAUGCGUAGAGAUCGUAAGGAAGACCAGUGGCGAAGGCGGGUCUCUAGUACGGUACUGACGCUGAGACGCGAAAGCGUGGGGAGCGAACAGG
rnacentral:rRNA from 1 species